AAAAAAUAUUUGCUAAAACUCAAUUUAAGUGAUCGAAAAGCAUUUCCAAAUCAAUAUUAAUGUAAGUACAAUAAUAAAAAAAAAAAUUUAGUGUGCAUGAGACAAAUGUUUAAGACAAGAUCUUCUUGGGGCUUUGUAAAUGUAAAUUUAGUAAUAAAGCCUAAUAUGAGUCACUGAAGAGUUAUAUGAUUGCAAAUGUGAUUUGUGUUUUUACGUGAUGAACUUUUAUCUAAUGACUGUAUGGUCUUUAAUACUCUAUUCUCAAGUUUAGAUUUUAUGAGGGCUACUUGUUUGAAACAGGGAAACGUUAUAUUGCAUAGCUUAAUUAAUUAUUGUUAAAUUUUUAUUUUAUAUUCAUAAAAGCUUCAAAUGAUUUAGCUCUAAUUAUUGUUAAGCUAUAUUGUCAAAACUGUUAUAUAUUCAGUCUACUUCACAAAACAGAUUUCAAUACUUGUUUGACUGUAUCUACUAUUUAGAAAGCACACCAGAAAUAGAGAAGCCUCUGCAUUUCC